rnacentral:rRNA from 1 species
UACGUAGGGUGCAGGCGUUAAUCGGAAUUACUGGGCGUAAGGCGUGCGCAGGCGGUUUGCUAAGACAGGUGUGAAAUCCCCGGGCUUAACCUGGGAACUGCGCUUGUAACUGGCAAGCUAGAGUGUGGCAGAGGGGGGUGGAAUUCACGGUGUAGCAGUGAAAUGCGUAGAGAUCGUGAGGAAGACCAGUGGCGAAGGCGGGUCUCUGGACAGUUCCUGACACUGAGGCACGAAGGCCAGGGGAGCAAACGGG